CGCUCGUGAGGGAUAGGAAGCCAGCGUUUGUCAAAAGUUGUGAUUGAAAAAUCGUAAAGAUGUAUUUCUAAAAUAUGUAGGAAAUUAAUAUUAAAGAUCGGAUGUUAGGGACAACUACGGAAAUAAGCAGCCUCAUCCGUUUUGUAAUGUUGACUCAAGUAUCAUAGGGAAUGGUUAAGCAGACAAGCGUUUCUGAAUCUCGAUGAACUUGAGGAAAUCAGUUUUAUUGAGGAAAUCAGUCGACCAUAGAAGUUAUUCUAUAGAGUAUUUAAUAGUUAGUAACGAAUACAACUCGAACAUCCGCCCUGACUCCGGCCCUUCAACUAUAUAAGAACUUUGCAUGCUCCAAAAUUUGGACAAUGGCCAUUUUUCUUUUGAAAUAAAUUAAUAAUAUCUGCAGUAAUUAAUUUUAAUACAUACAUAUGUGUAUAUAUUAAGUAAUUUCACACAAAAAAAGUAAUUUUGAGCAACAUGAAAAAAUCUGCAUAUAUUCUAAUAGAUUUGCGACCAGCAUAAAUAUGAAUUCAAAUUUUAAUUUUUCGAUUUCGAUUUCCGCAAAUCUUAAUUUCAUCAUUUGUAUGCAAGCUGUAUUCCAAAUGUUAAUUUGCUUUGAAUUCGGAGCCUACAUAUGUGUAUUCGUAUGUGCGUGGACACAAGAAUCCACGGAUAUAAACAUGUUUACCUGCGAGCAUUUCGGUACUUUAUAUUCGGUUCAAGUUUCUUUUAAUGCCAACAGUGAGUGUGUACAAUGCUAUUAGAAUCUGCAACUAGAAAGUUUGUAUAUAUGUGCAUGUUAAUGGAUAUGCAUGGAGUCAACAACAUAUUUUGCGGAUCACAAGUGUGCCGUUAGAUAAAUUAUGAUUGUAAAACAAUUCUGAAAACACUAGCAUAUAUGCAUAUCUCACAUGUAUUUCAAAUGUACAUACAUACAUAUAUUUAUUAUACAUAAGGGUGGUGGGUCUUAUUUAUUUCGACUAUUACACUAAUUUCAUCAUAUUUUCACCGUUUAGCGUUAUAACUAGAAUUAAUAGUUAUAAUAAAAGAAAAAGGAGAAUUAUUUAAAAAUACUUUUCACAUUAAUAGACAUAAUUAUUCGAAAUAUUAUCAUUAAUAUAGUUAAUAGAUAUUUAGUUCUUUCUAUAUGGACAAAAUGUAUUACCCUAACCUGUAUUAGAAAUUUGUGUAUAUGUACAUACAUCUUGGAGUUCUAUGGUGUUAUAGCACUUGUCGAGAAUUCCAACUUUGUACUUCUACUAAAAAUAAAUAUGUGCAUAAUAUUGACAGAUCAAUGGCCUACUAUUCGUUGGUUUAUAAAAACAGUCCUGAAAUCAAUUGAAUUUUAAAUAAAACAACAUCACAAACAACCGAUAUACCACAUCACCUUACACGAAUUCGAAAUCCUGGAGUCAAAAUUUGCACAUGCACAUAAGAUUUGUGUUAAUAAACUCUGUGUUAAAUGCAGAUCCAUACAUAUGUGUAUGUAUGUAGGCU